rnacentral:rRNA from 1 species
UACGUGGGCUACGAGCGUUAUCCGGAUUUAUUGGGUUUAAAAAAUGCGCAGACGGAUUUAUAAGUCUGGUGUUAAAUACUAAAGCUCAAUUUUAGUAUGCAUUGGAAACUAUAAUUCUUGAGUUUGGUAGGAAGUUCUAGAAUUUGACAAGUAGGGGUGAAAUCCGCAGAUAUGUCAAAGAAUUCCGAUGGUGAAAACAAGAACUUAGACCAAAACUGACGUUUAGGCAUGAAAGUGUGGGGAGCAAAUA